rnacentral:lncRNA from 1 species
AGAAGUCUGCCGCCGCCACCCGCCGCCGCACCGGGGAGAUUUUCGACCACCGAUCAAGGUAAAUUUCAUACCCCUGACUCGUUUUUCCACGCUGAUUUCCCCUGUGGCCAAAUCGGAGCCAAAAUCCCGGCCAAACGGCCGAAAAACACGGCCAAAACCCAGCGGCGCCGCCGUGCCCCUCCUCAGUUUUUGCCUCCGAUGAGGCCCUUCCCGGCCUCCGUUUGAUGCAAUUUUUAUAUCACCGUGAUCACCAUUCUUUUCUCUACAGGUUGAUCGGAGCCGAAUCACCAAAACACGAACCUCACCGGAGAGCCGCCGCACCCGAGAGCACUGCCGCCGGUAAGCUUCGGUUUUUCGUAAUUUUUUGGCCCCCUGAGGGCCCUAGGGUUGUUUUAUCGCCGGGACCGAUGCAAGUGUGGCCGAAUUCGACC